rnacentral:rRNA from 1 species
AUGCAGUGUACCCGCGGCUAGACGGAAAGACCCCGUGAACCUUUACUACAGCUUGGCACUGAACAUUGACCCUACAUGUGUAGGAUAGGUGGGAGGCUUUGAAGCACGUACGCCAGUAUGUGUGGAGUCGUCCUUGAAAUACCACCCUUGUAGUGUUGAUGUUCUAACGUCGACCCCUUAUCGGGGUUGCGGACAGUGCCUGGUGGGUAGUUUGACUGGGGCGGUCUCCUCCCAAAGAGUAACGGAGGAGCACGAAGGUGGGCUAAUCACGGUUGGACAUCGUGAGGUUAGUGCAAUGGCAUAAGCCCGCUUGACUGCGAGAAUGACAAUUCGAGCAGGUGCGAAAGCAGGUCAUAGUGAUCCGGUGGUUCUGAAUGGAAGGGCCAUCGCUCAACGGAUAAAAGGUACUCCGGGGAUAACAGGCUGAUACCGCCCAAGAGUUCAUAUCGACGGCGGUGUUUGGCACCUCGAUGUCGGCUCAUCACAUCCUGGGGCUGAAGUCGGUCCCAAGGGUAUGGCUGUUCGCCAUUUAAAGUGGUACGCGAGCUGGGUUUAGAACGUCGUGAGACAGUUCGGUCCCUAUCUGCCGUGGGCGUUGGAAGAUUGAAGGGGGCUGCUCCUAGUACGAGAGGACCGGAGUGGACGAACCUCUGGUGUUCGGGUUGUGUCGCCAGACGCAUUGCCCGGUAGCUAAGUUCGGAAUCGAUAACCGCUGAAAGCAUCUAAGCGGGAAGCGAGCCCUGAGAUGAGUCUUCCCUGAUACUUUAAGUAUCCUAAAGGGUUGUCGGAGACUACGACGUUGAUAGGUCAGGUGUGUAAGUGCUGUGAGGCAUUGAGCUAACUGAUACUAAUUGCCCGUGAGGCUUAACCAUACAACACCCAAGGGGUUU